rnacentral:rRNA from 3 species
AAAUUGAAGAGUUUGAUCAUGGCUCAGAUUGAACGCUGGCGGCAGGCCUAACACAUGCAAGUCGAACGGUAACAGGAAGCAGCUUGCUGUUUCGCUGACGAGUGGCGGACGGGUGAGUAAUGUCUGGGAAACUGCCUGAUGGAGGGGGAUAACUACUGGAAACGGUAGCUAAUACCGCAUAACGUCGCAAGACCAAAGAGGGGGACC